rfam:Hordeum vulgare subsp. vulgare, WGS project CAJW01000000 data, contig: morex_contig_1770422
UGGGGUGUGGCCAAGUGGUAAGGGAGCAGGUUUUGGUCCCGUUACUCGAAGAUUCGAAUCCUUCCGUCCCAG